UACGGAGGGUGCGAGCGUUGUUCGGAAUCACUGGGCGUAAAGCGCGUGUAGGCGGCCUCUUAAGUCUGAUGUGAAAGCCCGGGGCUCACCCCCGGAAGUGCAUUGGAUACUGGGGGGCUGGAGUACCGGAGAGGAGGGUGGAAUUCCUGGUGUAGCGGUGAAAUGCGUAGAUAUCAGGAGGAACACCGGUGGCGAAGGCGGCCCUCUGGACGGAUACUGACGCUGAGACGCGACAGCGUGGGGAGCAAACAGG
rnacentral:rRNA from 1 species